UACGUAGGGCGCAAGCGUUAUCCGGAAUUAUUGGGCGUAAAGAGCUCGUAGGCGGUUUGUCGCGUCUGCCGUGAAAGUCCGGGGCUCAACUCCGGAUCUGCGGUGGGUACGGGCAGACUAGAGUGAUGUAGGGGAGACUGGAAUUCCUGGUGUAGCGGUGGAAUGCGCAGAUAUCAGGAGGAACACCGAUAGCGAAGGCAGCUCGCUGGGACGGUACUGACGCUGAGGCGCGAAGGCUAGGGGAGCGAACGGG
rnacentral:rRNA from 1 species